CUUUCUUUUCAACAUAUUGUUUAUGUUCUGAAACAGGUCCAGGGAGGCUUCGGAUGCAGUCAUGAACGAGAGGGAGUGAAGGACCUGAAGCUGUAGAAACCAGCCAUCAUCAACCAGUUUGCAAUUUCACCUCAUUUGGAUAUUUGCUCAUCUAAGUCUCUGCGCGGGACCUCCAUUGGUAGGCUGAUUCAUAAACUACACCAGGAUAACCUGGAAACAGCCAGGAGGAAACUGGCAGCUGAGGACCAACUGUCUUCCUGACCAAGAAGGGGCUAGUAUAAUACAACUGGCCUAAUGUUUCCCAUAUAUAUGUAAAACUUUAAACCGGUUUGUCGUAUAAAUCAAUUAAUCAUGUUUUACAAACCCUGUUGUGUGAUCAAACAUUGUUUAAACUUACAAUAGUGGAAGAGUCCAGUUUCCAGUGAUACAUACUACUGUGUACUACUGUAAUGCAUGAUGGAUAUUUGUGUAAUUUAAGUCUCAGUGAGGUGUUGAAACAAUUCAGUGUGUAUGUAUAUAUAUCAUACAUACAGUACGUGAUACAGUCAUACAAUUUGGAUAUUUGUUUUUCCUUGCAUUGAAAUAAUAAAUGUCCCCAUCAGUCCUGACCUCACUGAGACACUCAGCUGGUUGCAUCUCUGCAGUGAAAUGGGAUCAGCAUCACUACCUCUCUCCUCACUCAACAUACCACACUCUCCAGGUCAUACUGGACAGGCUGUGUAACUAACACAUUGCUCAAAUUCACAUUUCUUAGCAUCUUAUCACUUAUUGUAAUACAUUUAAAAUACUUUAAAUCUUUUCUCUGGUAAUCUACACUGAGUUGUAUUUAUAUACAACACAUGUCUGAUAACACCUAAACAAUAUGAUGACAUUAUAUGAUACAAGGAAUUCUGAAAGGAAUUCAAUACUGAAAAUUGAAGACCUAGAUGUGGUUUUCAUAUUGUGAAUGUAGCCAUGUUUUAUGUGCUGUGUUCAGAGGAUUUGCCUUAAACUGAGACAUUAGAAUGUAAAUUGAUAACCUACAGUUCCUUUACAAGACAGUUUGAAAAUGCCUCAAUGUAUUACUGAGUUAAUUCAGUGAAAAUUUCACAUUACAAUAAAUUAAUAAGUGUACUUAGUGCAAAUGUAUUGCAUUUAAUACACAUCCUUUGAUUUUUUGGCAUUUGAAUAGGCUUUUAACAAUAGCAGGAGGGGACAUUAAAUUAACUUGAUUUCAUUAAUUGUUGCAUUUUUUGACUGACAGAAUUAGAC